rfam:Flavobacterium sp. A45 NODE_32_length_47405_cov_15.2821_ID_63, whole genome shotgun sequence.
CCCUAGCCCUGAUGGGAGCGAAAAGCCUUUUGAAAUAAAAUGCCCUUUUUCUUGAAUAAAAAGAGCGACCAGCGGAAGCUCCUUUUUAUUCUUAGAAAAAGGGCGUUUUAUGAAAAAGCUUGCAGCCUACAGCAGGAUCAAGC